GACGAACGCUGGCGGCGUGCUUAACACAUGCAAGUCGAACGGAAAGGCCCUGCUUUUGUGGGGUGCUCGAGUGGCGAACGGGUGAGUAACACGUGAGUAACCUGCCCUUGACUUUGGGAUAACUUCAGGAAACUGGGGCUAAUACCGGAUAGGAGCUCCUGCUGCAUGGUGGGGGUUGGAAAGUUUCGGCGGUUGGGGAUGGACUCGCGGCUUAUCAGCUUGUUGGUGGGGUAGUGGCUUACCAAGGCUUUGACGGGUAGCCGGCCUGAGAGGGUGACCGGCAUCAUUGGGACUGAGAUACGGCCCAGACUCCUGCGGGAGGCAGCAGUGGGGAAUAUUGCACAAUGGGCGGAAGCCUGAUGCAGCAACGCCGCGUGCGGGAUGACGGCCUUCGGGUUGUAAACCGCUUUCGCCUGUGACGAAGCGUGAGUGACGGUAAUGGGUAAAGAAGCACCGGCUAACUACGUG
rnacentral:rRNA from 1 species